UACGUAGGGUGCAAGCGUUGUCCGGAAUUAUUGGGCGUAAAGAGCUCGUAGGCGGUCUGUCGCGUCGGAUGUGAAAACCCGGGGCUUAACCCCGGGCCUGCAUUCGAUACGGGCAGACUCGAGUGUGGUAGGGGAGACUGGGACUCCUGGUGUAGCGGUGAAAUGCGCAGAUAUCAGGAAGAACACCGGUGGCGAAGGCGGGUCUCUGGGCCACUACUGACGCUGAGGAGCGAAAGCGUGGGGAGCGAACAGG
rnacentral:rRNA from 1 species